rnacentral:rRNA from 1 species
GACGUAGGGCGCGAGCGUUGUCCGGAUUUAUUGGGCGUAAAGAGCUCGUAGGCGGUGUGUCGCGUCGGCCGUGAAAACCUGGGGCUCAACUCUGGGCGUGCGGUCGAUACGGGCAUCACUAGAGUUCGGCAGGGGAGACUGGAAUUCCUGGUGUAGCGGUGAAAUGCGCAGAUAUCAGGAGGAACACCGGUGGCGAAGGCGGGUCUCUGGGCCGAUACUGACGCUGAGGAGCGAAAGCAUGGGUAGCGAACAGG